CAUUUAUGUCUUCAACGGGCUCCAGGGAAAGUGUCCUGUGAGGGUCAGCACAAGUGGAUGAAGGGGAAGGAACCAGGCUCCUGACAGGAGGAGAAGAGAGAAUCCAGGAUGAGGGCAUAGAAGGAGUCUGCAAGGCUGGACUGUGGAUCCUCUUGACAAGGAGAAUGAAUGACUGUUAUUCACAGUGGGAAUUAGCACCAGCUGCAUGCAUAGUAGCCAUGAGAUAUCACCAGGAGUAAAGGGAGUUCUGUAAAAUUAGGGAAAAGAAGAGAUUCUACGGUAAAAAGUCCAUAAAGCACCAGCACAUCCUGGUUUACCAUGUCCCUA